rnacentral:rRNA from 1 species
AUUGAACGCUGGCGGCAGGCCUAACACAUGCAAGUCGAAUGGUAACAGGAAACAGCUUGCUGUUUCGCUGACGAGUGGCGGACGGGUGAGUAAUGUCUGGGAAACUGCCUGAUGGAGGGGGAUAACUACUGGAAACGGUAGCUAAUACCGCAUAACGUCGCAAGACCAAAGAGGGGGACCUUCGGGCCUCUUGCCAUCAGAUGUGCCCAGAUGGGAUUAGCUAGUAGGUGGGGUAACGGCUCACCUAGGCGACGAUCCCUAGCUGGUCUGAGAGGAUGACCAGCCACACGGGAACUGAGACACGGUCCAGACUCCUACGGGAGGCAGCAGUGGGGAAUAUUGCACAAUGGGCGCAAGCCUGAUGCAGCCAUGCCGCGUGUAUGAAGAAGGCCUUCGGGUUGUAAAGUACUUUCAGCGGGGAGGAAGGGAGUAAAGUUAAUACCUUUGCUCAUUGACGUUACCCGCAGAAGAAGCACCGGCUAACUCCGU